UCCCCCCCCUCCCACCCCCCCCCUCCCCGCCCGUCAAGCCUUUGGCAUCAUUAUCCUCAUCACUAAAUCCUACAGAGUACAGGGCGGAAAACGGUGCACAC
rnacentral:lncRNA from 1 species